ACGUAAGGGGCAAUCUUUUUUCUUAAUUAUUGGGCGUAAAGGGUACGUAGGCGGUUUGGUAAGCCCGGCGUGAAAUCCUGCAGCUUAACUGUAGAGCUGCGCUGGGAACUGUGAAACUUGAGUCAUGGAAGGGAAGUUAGAAUUCCAGGUGUAGGGGUGAAAUCUGUAGAUAUCUGGAAGAAUACCGGUGGCGAAGGCGAACUUCUGGCCAAUGACUGACGCUGAGGUACGAAAGUGCGGGGAGCAAACAG
rnacentral:rRNA from 1 species